rnacentral:tRNA from 3 species
GCCCCCGUAGCUCAGUUGGAUAGAGCAGCAGGUUUCUAACCUGUUGGCCGCAGGUUCGAGUCCUGCCGGGGGUACCA